rnacentral:rRNA from 1 species
UACGAAGGGGGCUAGCGUUGUUCGGAAUCACUGGGCGUAAAGCGCACGCAGGCGGAUCGUUAAGUCAGGGGUGAAAUCCCGAGGCUCAACCCAGGAACUGCGUCCGAUACUGGUUGGCUUGAAUCCGGGAGAGGGAUGUGGAAUUCCAGGUGUAGCGGUGAAAUGCGUAGAUAUCUGGAGGAACACCGGUGGCGAAGGCGACAUCCUGGACCGGCAUUGACGCUGAGGCGCGAAAGCCAGGGGAGCAAACGGG